CCGUUCUGGACAUUUUAUAUUGACUUUUUGUAGUUUUAGCUAAAUAUUUAUUUAUUUUAAUUGUGAAUAAACUGUUUUCAAUUUUGCCAACAUUAGCUUGGGCUGUUUCUUGGGAGUUGUACUUGGUGAUUAAAGGACCCUGAUUGGUGACAUUUCUUUGGCGUUGUCGGCAGGAUCACCAGUGCUACUGCUAAGAAAUGGACCCAGCUCAGCCAGGCUCCAGUGCAGCUAUUAAUGCAAACUUUAUGAUGCCAUGGUUUAUGGGGGCCGCAUGGAUUCCAAAAUUCAAUGGGGAAGCUGCAAAAUUUGGGGACUGGAGAGCCCAGGUGGAAGCAAUGUUGAGGGCACAAGAUUUAAAUCCACAGCAGCAGGCAGAUUUUUUUGUUUUGGGAGCCUUGGAAGGGGAAGCCACGCAGGAACUAAUGCUAGCCAAAUCAACUGAAAAGGAGACUGGGGCUAAGGUAUUGGCUUUUUUACAAAACCUUUAUGCUAAGCCUGCCACAAAAGCAAAAUUACGCGUAAAUUUUUUUAACUGUAAACAGAGGGCUGACGAAUCAAUUAACACUUUUAUUUUACGCCUCCGCAAAGUGUUUUCUAGGUGGCAAGAUUCUGAUGUAGACGGGACUGGGGAGGAGGACGACCUGCUUUUGGAUCAGUUUAUGGUUGAUCUUCGUAAAGGGCCGCUUAAACAGGAACUUAGUCGCUAAAUGCGGCGUAGACAUGAUAUGACUUUUAAAAUAGCUUGUAAAGAGACUCGCACCUUGGAGAAAGCUUGAGGAAGAGGACGAUGUGCUGGUGUCAAAUCCUGUCGCAGCCUACGCUCCAUCAAGGCCAACCCCCUUUGACAGUGAGAAAUUAAGGGGAAAGAUGCAUUCUGAGCUGAAGGAGGAGCUGUUGGGGGAGUUAAGGAAGGAGAUUAAAGAGCAAUUAAAGGCUAUGUCAUCUGCAAUCGUAGAGGAUGUUAAAACUCAGCUCAGAGUUCCGUCUCCAACCCCACAAUCUCAAAUGGGACAUCUAUGAACAAGGACCCCCUCUUACCAGUGGGAUGAACAAGGGAGGCCCAUCUGUCGAAGCUGUGGCACUGCAGGGCAUGUCCAGCGCCACUGCUCUCAGAGAUCUUCCAGGCCACAGGAUUUUUAGCCACCCCUGCAGCUGAGGGCCAAGCAGUGGGGGUGGUUGUUUCAGAGCCCAAAGCGCACUCCAUACAGGUCCCAGAACCUGCCACGGCAACAGACCCUGAGUCAAAGAUGGUCCUGGUUGAGAGAGCUGCAGGACCUUACUAACCUGUGGAAUUGCCACAGAAUUCGCCCCAGUAGGAAUGCAGUUUCUCCAAGUGGACGACCACUAUUGAUGUACAACCUUCCCCAUCUGUUUGGCACCACAAACUACAUCAAGGCAGUAUCCCAUCAACAGAUCCAGGCUUGUAGAGAGGAAUGCCUGCCAAGAGGUCCAAAUCCAUGUGAUGAGACUGUUUUUGACAUUUGCUGCCUUGCAGUGUCAGAAAACUAUCUGCAUCCACCUACUUCUUCUGAGGAGGCAAUUGAACUCUACCUUUUCUUACGAGCCUACAUCCACACUCAGAUUUAAUAGCUGUUCCCAGACAGACAGCAGCGACCUGCAGAAAGAUAACUAGCCAACCGGUGAAUUUUAACUUUAAAAUUGCCUGUAACUGACCUGAAAUACCAUUGUCACUGUUGUUAUUUUUGUUGUUAAUAUCUGUCUAAUUAAUGUUUUGUAAUCACCAUGGCAGUGGCAAUUGCAAAUUUACCUGUAUUACAUCUGAAUGUCAUUUUAGUAUGAAGACAAUUGAAACCUGUGAGGUACAGUGUGUGUUUAAAGUCUUGAUUAUGUGUAAUGUAUAUACACUGUGGGCUUUGUCAAAAGAGUAAAUAAUUUAUAGGCUCUGUUAUAACUUUGAUUCAAACACUUUACCUGAUUUAUAAAGGGACCAACUGGUACCAACUGUGCCCAAAUCUUUGUAAUAUAAUAUUGAAAUUCAAGCACUCUGGAAUUCAUCUUCAGGAUUAUCGGUCUCUUAAAAAAUGCUGAAAAAUUACAUUAGACAGCAAAUGGUGAACACUAAUAUCAUUAAUGUGGCAUUUUGUUGAAUGCAAUGAAGUUAAUAAAAACUUUUUUGUA